GCUGCCUUCUUCCACAAAGAAGCCGGAACUUUAUACGUUGCAAGCGCCACCAUAUCCACCACCGCACAUGGGACACAGCAGCAGAUUGCUGCACACUCCGCUGUUGCAUUUCCAGCCACUUCUCCGACGCUGCGACGACGGUUUUGGAGUUGGUUCUGGCGAGUCAUUAUGGAAAGAAAAAGAAGAAGAAAAAACGUGAAAGAGAAGGAGGAAAAGACUAGAGAGGUGGUGGUAGGAACGGAGGCAUGAGAGAAGAACGCCGGCGAGGCAUUUGAGAGGCUACCUCAUGAUGGGCCGGAGCAGGAGGAGAAAGAAGAAUAGGGUUUAUGAUAAAUGAGAGAGUACUUUUGAAAGCGGUUAAAGUGGGAAAUGGUUGGGAGAGAUUAAAAGGUGGGAUUGAGAGAAGAAAUAUAGGAAUAUGAAUGA
rnacentral:lncRNA from 1 species